rnacentral:lncRNA from 1 species
UAUUCCAAAGUCUAAUGAUCCUGAUAUGCGCUGGAACAAAGGAACCAUUCUAAAAGCAUCAGUGGAGUACAUCAAGUGGCUACAAAAAGAACAACAGAGAGCCCGAGAAUUGGAACACAGACAGAAGAAAUUAGAGCAGGCUAACAGGCGACUUCUACUUCGGAUUCAGGAAUGUGUUGUUCAUGAAAAACUGAUAGAAGCAACAGAAGAAUUCGCAGGAAGAAAAAUCAUAGUGUUAAUGAAUUAUUGAGGGCGAAAAAAAGGUGUUUUCUUCUUUGACUACGGAGUCCAAAUCCACUUAAAUUCUGUUUUCCUGAAAAGAGGUACAGCAUAAGAAAUAGCUCUUUAUUGAUGUUUUAAAAGCAGCAACUUGGUGGUGUACUACUGGAACUAAUGACUGCAAAGUGUUAAACGACUGAAAUAUACAAACAGUCUCUUAGUUACUCAUUUCCAUCUUCUCUUCAACUUUCACAUCAGUCUUCCGGAAUCAAGAUCAACAUAUCAGGUGGUCAUUGCCUUUCUCCAUUGUCUAGUAGACAUGUCUAAAGUUCAAACUUUAUAGGAUAAAUAAAUGUAUAAUAGAUUAUCUGUCACUUGUGGUUGAAAGGCAAAUCUACAAUAAAUGUGAGAAUUUUCCACAAUAAAAUAUGGAUAACUUAUAAAAA